CAGGACACUGAUCCAGUCUUCGAGGCAAGGGCCUGGAACGUGCAACACUGCUGAUGAACUACCCGAAAGCCAUUCCCAACUGUUCUCUCACUGUCUCAGACGACAAAGGAAUAGCAUUCCACGAGGACAUCUGUACAGAACGAUCAGAACCAUCCCAGGCUGUACAACACUCUGAGGCCAUACUGCAUGUCCCAGUGGAAGGAUUCCUGCAAAGAAACUGUAGACUGAAGGAAAUACUCUCCUAAUAAAUCAAGCACAAGUAAAGAGCAAGAAAAUUACAGAGACAACCGUCUUAUUUGUGGAACAGAUUCUUUAUCAGAUCUAUUCCAAAGUGAAAACAAAAAACAGUCAUCCAAUCAGACAUCAAAGGAACACAGCCCCAAAUUCCAAAUGAUCAAGAAGUCUAUUGGUGCCAGAACCGGUUUGGCUCAGUGGAUAGAGCGUCGGCCUGCGGACUCUAGGGUCCCAGGUUCGAUUCCGGUCAAGGGCAUGUACCUUGGUUGC